UUCAGGGUCUGCGGAGGUUAUGCCCAGCGCGUCAGGCGCCCUGCGGCCACCUCUCAGGGUGCCCGGGGACCCCGCCCCUUCCGCCUCGGCUGCCUGUGCCUCUCACGCCCCCGCCCUCGGGCCCUCGGUGGGCGGGACCCCUAAUCCGCCUGCUGCUCAGAGCCCUCCUCAGGGUGCCCAGCUCUCCACCAGCGGCUCCACCGUCGGCUUGGGACGCAGAUGGCCUCAGAGGUCACCAUCGGGAAGCGCAGGGAGGGGGCCGCUGAGUGUCCAGGUCCUUGGGGGCCGCUCAGGGCUCGGCUGCCCUUCAUUCCCCCGCUGGUGGGUCCCGGGCCGCUUCCCCUUCGGCUUCCACCCCACCCCAUGAGGGGCCCUUUCCAGUUGUCUUCCCCACAAGCGUUUUCCCAGGGCCUCCGAUGCACCUGCCCUCAGCCUCGGCCCUCCGCCUUCUCUGCCGCCCUCCCCCAGUGCUCACCCACCCAGUGCUCACCCGCUGCAUCAGAACCCUGCUCCGCAGGAUACGGCCCUGCCGUCCUGCGGACGCUGCGUCCCCAGCGCCCACAGCAGAAACCGAGGGUUGUUGGUGCCACGGUGGUCGAUGUCAUGGCACAGGCCGGCUGUCACCAUGGCGAAGGCCUCCAGGUCCGUGUAGUAGCUCUUCAGUUUGCCGGUCUGUAGAGACAGGGCCACCUUGCUCACCGGUCCUGGCUCCAGCAGGGUGGGGAGUGGUGAGGGGUUGGGAUGACCGAGGCGUCGGGUUGGAGGUUGGACCCCCGACCACCGCAGGGCUGGGGUGCGUGGUGCACGGUGUCAGAGGGCGUUGCCCUCCUCCAUCCUUCUGCCCUGGGAGGACCCCCAUCUCAUCCCUCGGGGUGCUUGAGUGCUGCCCUUGGUACCAGGAGGGCCUGCACAACCCUGGUGAUUCUGGCAGCCACGUACCAUGAGCAGCGUGAACAUCGUCUGGGCCACGUUGAAGCCGUGGCGCCAGUUGUGGUAGGUGAUUCUCCGGUACCCUUUGCUGAUGGAGAACAGGAACCGCACCAGGACCUGGGGGAGCCGAGAGGACACAGGGCUCCGGCGGCAAGCGUGUAAGUCCCGCCAGAGCGGCAACUGUGGCUGACUUCACGGUGGAAGCCCUGCUCCGUGCCAUCAUCCCCACACCGUCUCCUGGACUUCCCGAUCUUCCCCAUCCCUGCGUUUCCCACUGGCCUCUGCUGGCCUUCCUGGGUAGGGGGCUGCCACAUUGGCACCUUUGGGGUGGAGCCAGGCAGGGCAGGAGCUGAGAACAGCCCCAGCCUUCAGGGGCCGCCCAGCCUCCAUCCGACUGCCUGGCCUCAAGCUGGGAGGAGGACCUCUGGGGAUGCAGCAUAUUUUAAGAUGUUGGUUUUAGGCAUGGACAUUUGAAUGAGCAGAAUGUGUGGGCUGCAGGCUGGGGUGGGAGAGCCGAUGUCCGCAGGGCAAGAGAAUGCUGGUCUCUCUUGCCCUGCGGACAUCGCCAGGAGGCUCUUCCUGCGGCCAUUGUGAUUUUUAGGGUCAGAAAAUUAUUUGGAAAUAUUUUUUAUUCUGCAAAUAUUUUCUAUACAUUUUUUCUUGAGUGUUUUCCCUUAGUAUUUAGUAAAACUUCUUUUGAAAAUGCUGGCCUGCUGCACCUGUUCUCAGAGGGGCAUGAGAAAAGAGGAUUCUCUUCCUUGGGCUGUGGGAAGCCCCUUGAGAUGUUGGAAGCAGGGCAGGGCAGGAGAACCCAGGGAGGGCACAGAGCUGUGGACGAGGGCUGGGAAAGCCAUCCCGCCUCCCCAGGGGGUCUCCGAGGAGUGCUGCUGUGGCCAAACCAGGGGGGCCACUUUGUGCUUUCUGUUUAGGUGAUGGGAUGCUUCUAUCUCCUCAGCAGCCCACACCAAAUCCCCUGUUAUUGCCAGAUGAUGUGCCUAAUGAUCAAAUUGCUUGGAACUCCUAAUAAUAAAACUUUAAAUCUAUCCAUUCACCAUC